UACGUAGGGUGCAAGCGUUGUCCGGAAUUAUUGGGCGUAAAGAGCUCGUAGGCGGUUUGUCGCGUCGAAUGUGAAAACCCGGGGCUCAACCCCGGGCCUGCAUUCGAUACGGGCAGACUAGAGUUCGGUAGGGGAGUCUGGAAUUCCUGGUGUAGCGGUGAAAUGCGCAGAUAUCGUAAGGAAGACCAGUGGCGAAGGCGGGUCUCUGGACAGUUCCUGACGCUGAGGCACGAAGGUCAGGGGAGCAAACGGG
rnacentral:rRNA from 1 species